rnacentral:misc_RNA from 1 species
UGAGUCAGUCCAGUACAGA